UAGGGAAUCUUCCACAAUGGACGCAAGUCUGAUGGAGCAACGCCGCGUGAGUGAAGAAGGUUUUCGGACCGUAAAGCUCUGUUGUUGGUGAAGAAGGAUAGAGGUAGUAACUGGCCUUUAUUUGACGGUAAUCAACCAGAAAGUCACGGCUAACUACGUGCCAGCAGCCGCGGUAAUCGUAGGUGGCAAGCGUUGUCCGGAUUUAUUGGGCGUAAAGCGAGCGCAGGCGGAAGAAUAAGUCUGAUGUGAAAGCCCUCGGCUUAACCGAGGAAUUGCAUCGGAAACUGUUUUCUUGAGUGCAGAAGAGGAGAGUAGAACUCCAUGUGUAGCGGUGGAAUGCGUAGAUAUAUGGAAGAAUACCAGUGGCGAAGGCGGCUCUCUGGUCUGCAACUGACGCUGAGGCUCGAAAGCAUGGGUAGCGAACAGGAUUAGAUACCCUUGGUAGUCCAUGCCGUAAACGAUGAGUGCUAAGUGUUGGGAGGCUUCCGCCUCUCAGUGCUGCAGCUAACGCAUUAAGCACUCCGCCUGGGGGAGUACGACCGCAAGGUUGAAAC
rnacentral:rRNA from 1 species